UUCGGUAUGUGGGUGGAGGAGGGCCACAGUACCCAUUUGAGUGGGACUUGCCUGCUCCCUUCACACACUGUCCUCUCCUGUUCUCCAGCAUGUUGCAUCUGUGUUUCUCCAGAGGCUUCUGGAUGGCGGCUCUGACUGUGAUGCUGGUGGUGCUGAGCCCUCCCUUGGCUUUGGCCAGGGACACCCCACCGCAUUUCUUGCACCUGUUGAAAUUCGAGUGUCAUUUCUUCAAUGGGACCGAGCGGGUGAGGUUAUUGGAGAGGCAAUACUAUAACGGAGAGGAGUUCCUGCGCUUCGACAGCGACGUGGGCGAGUACCGGGCGGUGACCGAGCUGGGGCGGCCAGACGCCAAGGACUGGAACAGCCAGAAGGACCUCCUGGAGCAGAGGCGGGCGGAGGUGGACACGUACUGCAGACACAACUACCGGAUCUUGGAUACAUUCCUGGUGCCGCGGCGAGCUGAGCCCACAGUGACGGUGUAUCCUGCAAAGACCCAGCCCCUGCAGCACCACAACCUCCUGGUCUGCUCUGUGACCGGGUUCUACCCAGGCCACGUGGAGGUCAGGUGGUUCCGGAAUGGCCAGGAAGAGGCGGCGGGGGUGGUCUCCACAGGCCUGAUCCCUAAUGGAGACUGGACCUUCCAGACCAUGGUGAUGCUUGAAACGGUUCCUCAGAGUGGAGAGGUCUACAGCUGCCGAGUGGAGCACCCCAGCCUGACGAGCCCCGUCACAGUGGAAUGGAGGGCACGGUCUGAAUCUGCUCAGGGCAAGAUGAUGAGUGGGAUCGGGGGCUUCGUCCUGGGUCUGCUCUUUGUUGCUGUGGGGCUGUUCAUCUACUUCAAGAAUCAGAAAGGUGAGGAGCCUGUUGUCAGCCGAGAUGCCCCACGGCCUUUUUGGAGGAAGAAAUACGGCUUUGCUCGAUUCGUUCUCUCUCUGUCACUCUUCUGGCGUAAGGCCUUUAUUUCCCCAGUUUACUUCGGUUUCUUAGAAAUCCAGAAAUCGAUGGUCAUGGUGACUUGUGGGUGAAGCACAGAGGGGAUGCCGGCCUGUAGAGAUAAGACACGUGUUAACCUGAGUGGCGAUUUUGGGCGGAGAUUCUGGGGAAAUGCAGGAGGAGGGAGUUGGGCUGAUGAAAUUACCCUGGGUUUGUGUGAGAAAACCUUCAUAGGUCCCAUGCUCUUAGUGUCUGCUGUCCGGUCUAUCCUGACAUCAGGUGCUGUGGGUUGUGGUUUAGAGAAAUCUCAGUGGCGUGUCAGGGGCUGGGGACAUUGUGUUUUGGGGACAGAUUUACCUCCUUAGCUUCUAAGUGUAUGUCUUCUCUGUUCUUUCCCAGGACGCCCUGCCCUUCAGCCAACAGGCCUCCUGAGCUGAAGUGCAGGUGGUGACACUCCAAGCAAGCAUCCUCUGUGCCAGCGUCUUCACAGCAUGAGAAGGCUCCUGCUAUGCUCUGCGUCCUCCCCCAGGAGAGCUCUUCCUCAGACUCUCCUUUGCUCCUGGUUCAGGGACCCUGCAGAAAAGGUCUUUUGAUGGCUUUCUCAGCCUCCCCCCUUUGACUUGGAAGUUCCUGGCAUUGAUUGCUGUGCCUAUGUUCAUUUUUCUUUCCUUUUUUUUUCCUGGUUGGUCCCUGUUGUUUUCGACGUUACUGCCUCCUGUGCAUCUGAACUCAUCCACUGCCCAUAUUACCUUAUUAUGUUUUUCUCCAAUAAAUAUGGAGUGACAAUG